rnacentral:rRNA from 1 species
CCUUUUGUAGAAUGAACCGGCGAGUUACGAUUUGUUGCAAGGUUAAGCGGAAAAAGCGGAGCCGUAGCGAAAGCGAGUCUGAAUAGGGCGCAUAAGUAACAGGUCGUAGACCCGAAACCAGGUGAUCUACCCAUGUCCAGGAUGAAGGUAAGGUAAUACUUACUGGAGGUCCGAACCCACGCACGUUGAAAAGUGCGGGGAUGAGGUGUGGGUAGCGGAGAAAUUCCAAUCGAACUUGGAGAUAGCUGGUUCUCUCCGAAAUAGCUUUAGGGCUAGCCUCGAGGUAAAGAGUCAUGGAGGUAGAGCACUGUUUGGACUAGGGGCCCUUCUCGGGUUACCGAAUUCAGAUAAACUCCGAAUGCCAUGUACUUAUACUCGGGAGUCAGACUGCGAGUGAUAAGAUCCGUAGUCGAAAGGGAAACAGCCCAGACCACCAGUUAAGGUCCCCAAAUAUAUGUUAAGUGGAAAAGGAUGUGGGGUUGCUUAGACAACCAGGAUGUUGGCUUAGAAGCAGCCACCAUUGAAAGAGUGCGUAAUAGCUCACUGGUCGAGUGACCCCGCGCCGAAAAUGUACCGGGGCUAAACAUAUUACCGAAACUGUGGAUGAACCUCUUUAGAGGUUCGUGGUAGGAGAGCGUUCUAAGGGCGGUGAAGUCAGACCGGAAGGACUGGUGGAGCGCUUAGAAGUGAGAAUGCCGGUAUGAGUAGCGAAAGAAGGGUGAGAAUCCCUUCCACCGAAUAUCUAAGGUUUCCUGAGGAAGGCUCGUCCGCUCAGGGUUAGUCGGGACCUAAGCCGAGGCCGAUAGGCGUAGGCGAUGGACAACAGGUAGAGAUUCCUGUACCAGUGCUAAUUGUUUAACCGAUGGGGUGACACAGAAGGAUAGGGAAUCGCACGAAUGGAAAUGUGCGUCCAAGCAGUGAGUGUGAGAAGUAGGCAAAUCCGCUUCUCGCGAAGCAUGAGCUGUGAUGGGGAAGGAAAUUAAGUACGGAAGUUCCUGAUUUCACGCUGUCAAGAAAAGCCUCUAGGAAGAGUAGUACUGCCCGUACCGCAAACCGACACAGGUAGAUGAGGAGAGAAUCCUAAGGUGAGCGAGAGAACUCUCGUUAAGGAACUCGGCAAAAUGACCCCGUAACUUCGGGAGAAGGGGUGCUCUAUUAGGGUGCAAGCCCGAGAGAGCCGCAGUGAAUAGGCCCAGGCGACUGUUUAGCAAAAACACAGGUCUCUGCAAAACCGUAAGGUGACGUAUAGGGGCUGACGCCUGCCCGGUGCUGGAAGGUUAAGAGGAGUGCUUAGCUUCGGCGAAGGUACGAAUUGAAGCCCCAGUAAACGGCGGCCGUAACUAUAACGGUCCUAAGGUAGCGAAAUUCCUUGUCGGGUAAGUUCCGACCCGCACGAAAGGCGCAACGAUCUGGGCACUGUCUCAACGAGAGACUCGGUGAAAUUAUAGUACCUGUGAAGAUGCAGGUUACCCGCGACAGGACGGAAAGACCCCGUGGAGCUUUACUGCAACCUGAUAUGGAAUGUUUGUACCGCUUGUACAGGAUAGGUAGGAGCCGAAGAGACGUGUGCGCUAGCAUACGAGGAGGCAAUGGUGGGAUACUACCCUGGCUGUAUGACCAUUCUAACCCGCCACGCUUAGCGCGUGGGGAGACAGUGUCAGGUGGGCAGUUUGACUGGGGCGGUCGCCUCCUAAAGAGUAACGGAGGCGCCCAAAGGUUCCCUCAGAAUGGAUGGAAAUCAUUCGCAGAGUGUAAAGGCACAAGGGAGCUUGACUGCGAGACUGACAAGUCGAGCAGGGACGAAAGUCGGGCUUAGUGAUCCGGUGGUUCCGCAUGGAAGGGCCAUCGCUCAACGGAUAAAAGCUACCCCGGGGAUAACAGGCUUAUCUCCCCCAAGAGUCCACAUCGACGGGGAGGUUUGGCACCUCGAUGUCGGCUCGUCGCAUCCUGGGGCUGUAGUCGGUCCCAAGGGUUGGGCUGUUCGCCCAUUAAAGCGGCACGCGAGCUGGGUUCAGAACGUCGUGAGACAGUUCGGUCCCUAUCCGUCGCGGGCGCAGGAAAUUUGAGAGGAGCUGUCCUUAGUACGAGAGGACCGGGAUGGACACACCGCUGGUGUACCAGUUGUUCCGCCAGGAGCAUCGCUGGGUAGCUAUGUGUGGCAGGGAUAAACGCUGAAAGCAUCUAAGCGUGAAGCCCCCCUCAAGAUGAGAUUUCCCAUUUCUUCGGAAAGUAAGAUCCCUGAAAGAUGAUCAGGUAGAUAGGUUUGGAGUGGAAGUGUAGCGAUACAUGGAGCGGACAAAUACUAAUCGAUCGAGGACUUAACCAAAA